AGCGAACGCUGGCGGCAGGCCUAACACAUGCAAGUCGAACGAACCUUUCGGGGUUAGUGGCGGACGGGUGAGUAACACCUGGGAACGUGCCUUUAGGUUCGGAAUAACUCAGGGAAACUUGUGCUCAUACCGAAUGUGCCCUUCGGGGGAAAGAUUUAUUGCCUUUAGACCGGCCCGGGUCUGUUUAGCUAGUUGGUUGAGGUAAUGGCUCACCACGGCGACGUGCAGUAGCUGGUCUGGGAGGAUGAUCAGCCACAUUGGGACUGAGACACGGCCCAAACUCCUACGGGAGGCAGCAGUGGGGAAUCUUGCGCAAUGGGCGAAAGCCUGACGCAGCCAUGCCGCGUGAAUGAGGAAGGUCUUAGGAUUGUAAAAUUCUUUCACCGGGGACGAUAAUGACGGUACCCGGAGAAGAAGCCCCGGCUAACUUCGUG
rnacentral:rRNA from 1 species